GAGUAGUGGGGCUAAUUAGAGGGACUGCCGUCGCUGAGGCGGAGGAAGGAGGGGGCUACGGCAGGUCAGUAUGCCCCGAAACCCUCGGGCCACACGCGGGCUGCAAUGGUAAGGACAAUAAGUUCCUACUCCGAAAGGAGGAGGUAAUCUCCAAACCUUACCUCAGUUAUGAUUGAGGGCUGAAACUCGCCCUCAUGAAUAUGGAAUCCCUAGUAACCGCGUGUCACAAUCGCGCGGUGAAUACGUCCC
rnacentral:rRNA from 1 species